UUUUAGUGGCCAUUGUUUAGCGGCAAUAGACUAUUUGCUGGUAAUUUAUCCCUUGAACUCAAAUGUUAGCGACGAUUUGAUAUUAACCGGGAAUUAGGACCUUUCACUGGCAAAUGAAGAAAAUGGCCUCUAUAAAAGUUAGUACUAAUUAUUGAAAGCAAUUUUUUCUAACUUUAUCUUCCCUCCAAUUUUUUUUAUUGUUCCCUCCCUCUCCUCAUUCCUUCCUUGUAAACCUAGAACAGACACCCAAAUUGAACUAUUUCCCAAUUUGAGAUAUUCAGCCAUCGGUGGCGGCAUCACCACAAUCGACAACCAUCACGAGUGUACGUAAUGGCGUUCUUUUGUAGAUAAUAAUAUUGAGCAACCCAAAAACCUUCAAACUAGAAGACAAGAAACAUGUAUAAUAAGUGGGAGACUACUGGUUAUUGCCCAUUUGACAGAACUCUUGCGAUUGCUGGUCGUUCCAUGCCCCGAACUAAAAGUUGUUUGCCUUAGAUUUACAGCUGAAAAUCUUUGCAGGUCAAGGGUUGGUUCAGAUUAUUGAAGAAACUAACAUGGGUGGGAAAUCGACCUAUAUAUGCCAGGUCAAGCACUAUCACAUUUGAUAAUUGGGCAUAUGGAAGAAAUCAUUCUGAUCAAGAGUUGGAAAUUUUUUUGUAUGAUGUUUACUGUAGUAUUAUAGCUAUUUUGUAACAAUAGUUAUUAGAUGCAAAAUUAUACUAGCUAUUGGAUUCAAAUAGUUUACUUUUUUCGUAAAAAUUGCACGAGGCGCCCUAUUUGGUCGCCUCCAUUUAACCUA